rnacentral:rRNA from 1 species
AAUCAACGCUGGCGGCGUGCCUAACACAUGCAAGUCGAACGCGGUUUUCCCGCAAGGGGAAAGCUGAGUGGCAAACGGGUGAGUAACACGUGGGUGACCUGCCUUCGGGUGGGGGAUAACGUUCCGAAAGGGACGCUAAUACCGCAUAACAUCCUGUCUUUUAAGAGAUGGACAUCAAAGCCUGGACCGUAAGGCCAGGCGCUUGAGAGGGCCCGCGCCUGAUUAGCUAGUUGGUGGGGUAAGGCUCACCAAGGCAACGAUCAGUAUCCGGCCUGAGAGGCGGACGGACACACUGGGACUGAGACACGGCCAGACUCCUAC